UAACCCGGAUUUUAAAAAUAUUUUUAUUAAUAUUAUAAAUGAUUUUCUUAAAAAGAAAGGAAUAAGAUUUAAUAUUUUAUUCCAGUUUAAUGAGUUUUCAAGGUUUUAUAUUUAAACCCCGGGUUAUUGUGUUAUUGAUAAAUAAUUGUAAUUUCAAAAUGGAUUUUCAUAUAAAAAUUCUGUAUGAAUAUUAUGUGAGUAUAUGUGUUAUGUGAUGAAGUGGUAGUGGUGAAUUUGUUUGUUAAUUAGUUAUGAUUAAUUAUUAAUAUUAUAUGAUUAAUAUAUGAAUUUUUGUGAAUUUUGUGUUAUCCAGUUUAUUGAGCUGACUGCUCAUAUGUGUUCGUAUCUGAGAGAUUUCAAUUUCUAUAUGCUCAGGAGAAAAUAUAGUUUAUUUGGAUAUUUUCAUAUCGAUUUAUGGAAUGUUAGAUGAUUUUAUAAUCGAUUUACGGAUUUAAUUGCGUAUAUUUAUAUUUACUUAGUAAUUAUUUGACUUCCGUAAAACCGUUCACUCGUAACGAGGUAGUAGAUUUUCUUCCCGGAAGUUUCGAGAAAACUCACCUUUAGCCUAAUUUGAAUAUUCCGGACAUUUUUCGUGUUUUGACUUUUUCGAUCCGGAGUACGGUUUUCCCCGGAGUCGGUCCGGCGGAGUUUUCGGGUAUUUUAAUUGUCGAUAAUUAUCCAGUUUGUCUCGAUAAACGUGAACCGAGAUAUUUUCUUCAUCCUUAUCAUGUAAUAAUUGCAGUGGGACCCGCAGACCAAUAAUUGAGUUAAAAAGCCCCGUUUUGAUGAUUAUCUUGAAAACUAGUACCGAUUGGACCCCACUUUCUUAAUAUAAAGCUAUUAAAUACGUAUUUUCAUGUCAUAAACGAUCCAAAGGGGUACCAAUUCUUUGUAAAUAUAAAUAUACCUUUCUAGAGCUUAUUUUCACCCGUAAAAUCAUUUCACCAGUUUCUCUGCACGAAUACCGAGAGAAACCGAGCGGUGUUCUUCGUGUUCUUCAUAAUCAAACGUGGAUUUGAAGGCGUUAUUGGAGUCAGAAUCAAGCGUGCGAAUAGUCAAAUCGAAGAUAUCGAAGAGUAGAAUCUAUAUCUGCAAUCAAAAACAACCUGAGAUUCACAGGAUUGGACGAGACGUGGAUGACCGAAGACGUUCAGAAGGACAAGUGGUGUUCCAAAGCGAAUAAAGAAUGAGUCGAGUAAGCGAAGUGCUGUGGCGAAUAGAGUAUAGCUAGAGAUGGUCUAGAGAUUAUAAGAUGCAUAUAUUGUGAAAGUGGAAAGUUGAGAAUGAGCUGUGAGACGGGAGUCAGAUUUAAGGCAAGUAUCCUAUACCCUUCUUUUGGAUAUCUUGCGAUUAUUCUGAUCCAUUAUUCUCGUAUGUGUUGCAAAUAUUCGUUCCUCUCUUUUUCAUAUUUGGCAAGUGCAAAUAUUUUUAUCCAUCCUUUUCUAAUCCUCAAAAAUUCAGAUAAUUCCAGUUUUACAAAUUAAUUCGAAGUUCAGAUUGUCAUUGAAGCAUGUGUUGCUCAGUGAUGAUUAGAACCUAGAAUGACUUGGGAUCUUCUUGAUUAUUCAACCCGCCAUUGUCAUGCUGGUUUAGCAGGCUAAAUUCAGUUGCUUAGCCGAUAAUGGAGGAUACUGAAUAGUUAAGGAUUUCCUGGAUUAUGAUUUAUGGAAGGAUGGACUCUGGUUUAUGAAAAGUUGAUUAUCAAAUGUUUGAUUUGGAAUUAUUUUAUCAUGGAUAUUGAUUGUGGUUAUGUUCUGUUGUUAUACGUUGACCUGUUAUUGAAUUAUAGAAUUGGAUUAUUGUUUUUAUAUAAACCUGUGGACCAGAUUCGUGGUCAUGUUAGGCCAAUGAGUGCCUUGGAUCCAGUGAUAGAGCAUGGCGGGGCCUGCUCGGGGUUAGUGCGGAACUGAUCAGCUGCCUAACCUUGGUUUUAAUUAAAAUGUAAUAGUCCAAUUCAAUAAUUCUUUGGAAAGAUUGAAUUUCUCAGUUUAAAUGAUGCAAGGUAUUGUAAAUCAUUCUAUACAAUACCAUGAACUCAUGAACUCAGGUUGAAUUCUCUUAUAUCUUGAACUCGUGAACUUCUGUUAUAUCAUUUCAGAACUAUCAUUGUUUAUUAUUACUUGCUGAGCAUUGUUGCUCACCCUUGCUAUUCCUUUCUAACCAUUUCAGAAAGGCUGAAAGAUAAGAUGAUUGAUUGAGAUUGUGGAUAAGGCUAAUGCUAGGCGAGGAGACAGAGUUGAGGAUCCAGUGGUCGAGGAGUAUUCAGGAAAGUUGAUAAGGUUGGUGCUAGCUAGAGUUAUGCUAUGAAGUUUCAGAUGUAAGUCAUGGCUGGAGUAAGUUGACAGUGAUUCUUCUUAUCGAAGAUGAUCUGAUUUGGUAAGGGAUGUUGUGUAGUAUUAGUGGUGAAUUCUAAUUUCAAUACUGUAACCUGGAAGCGAUCCUGUUGUUUUUGGGGGUUAAAAUGUUCUCUUUCGAAUCAGCUAUUAAAGUUUAAAUGUUCUCUGAAAAGUUCUUUUA